rnacentral:rRNA from 1 species
GAUGAACGCUGGCGGCGUGCUUAACACAUGCAAGUCGAACGGGAAUUAUUUUAUUGAAACUUCGGUCGAUUUAAUUUAAUUCUAGUGGCGGACGGGUGAGUAACGCGUGGGUAACCUGCCUUAUACAGGGGGAUAACAGUCAGAAAUGGCUGCUAAUACCGCAUAAGCGCACAGAGCUGCAUGGCUCAGUGUGAAAAACUCCGGUGGUAUAAGAUGGACCCGCGUUGGAUUAGCUGGUUGGUGGGGUAACGGCCCACCAAGGCGACGAUCCAUAGCCGGCCUGAGAGGGUGAACGGCCACAUUGGGACUGAGACACGGCCCAGACUCCUACGGGAGGCAGCAGUGGGGAAUAUUGCACAAUGGGGGAAACCCUGAUGCAGCGACGCCGCGUGAAGGAAGAAGUAUCUCGGUACGUAAACUUCUAUCAGCAGGGAAGAUAGUGACGGUACCUGACUAAGAAGCCCCGGCUAACUACGUG